UCUGCAGAGCCUCCCAGGAGCAGAGCUCUGACAGCUGCUGUCCUUCGGUGUCUCUGCUGGU
ensembl:miRNA gga-mir-12232 gga-mir-12232